rnacentral:rRNA from 1 species
GACGAACGCUGGCGGCGUGCCUAAUACAUGCAAGUAGAACGCUGAAGAGAGGAGCUUGCUCUUCUUGGAUGAGUUGCGAACGGGUGAGUAACGCGUAGGCAACCUGCCUUGUAGCGGGGGAUAACUAUUGGAAACGAUAGCUAAUACCGCAUAACAAUGGAUGACACAUGUCCUUUAUUUGAAAGGGGCAAUUGCUCCACUACAAGAUGGACCUGCGUUGUAUUAGCUAGUAGGUGAGGUAAUGGCUCACCUAGGCGACGAUACAUAGCCGACCUGAGAGGGUGAUCGGCCACACUGGGACUGAGACACGGCCCAGACUCCUACGGGAGGCAGCAGUAGGGAAUCUUCGGCAAUGGGGGCAACCCUGACCGAGCAACGCCGCGUGAGUGAAGAAGGUUUUCGGAUCGUAAAGCUCUGUUGUAAGUCGAGAACGGGUGUGAGAGUGGAAAGUUCACACUGUGACGGUAGCUUACCAGAAAGGGACGGCUAACUACGUG